rnacentral:rRNA from 1 species
CCCUUAGAUGUCCUGGGCCGCACGCGCGUUACACUGAUGCAUUCAACGAGCUUAUAACCUUGGCCGAGAGGCCUGGGCAAUCUUGUUAACGUGCAUCGUGAUAGGGAUAGAUUAUUGAAAUUAUUAAUCUUGAACGAGGAAUUCCUAGUAAACGCAGAUCAUCAAUCUGCAUUGAUUACGUCCCUGCCCUUUGUACACACCGCCCGUCGCACCUACCGAUUGGAUGGUCUGGUGAAGCCUCGGGAUUGUGGUUCUUGCCGCUUUAUUGUGGCGUGACCGCGAGAACUUGUCUAAACCUUAUCAUCUAGAGGAAGGUGAAGUCGUAACA